UACGAAGGGGGCUAGCGUUGCUCGGAAUCACUGGGCGUAAAGCGCACGUAGGCGGCUUCUUAAGUCAGGGGUGAAAUCCUGGAGCUCAACUCCAGAACUGCCUUUGAUACUGAAAAGCUUGAGUCCGGGAGAGGUGAGUGGAACUGCGAGUGUAGGGGUGAAAUUCGUAGAUAUUCGCAAGAACACCGGUGGCGAAGGCGGCGUUCUGGACUGCAACUGACACUGAAGAACGAAAGCCAGGGGAGCAAACGGG
rnacentral:rRNA from 1 species